rnacentral:rRNA from 1 species
CCUACGGGUGGCAGCAGUGGGGGAUAUUGCACAAUGGGGGAAACCCUGAUGCAGCGACGCCGCGUGUGUGAAGAAGUAUUUCGGUAUGUAAAGCUCUAUCAGCAGGGAAGAAAAAAGACGGUACCUGACUAAGAACCCCCGGCUAACUACGUGCCAGCAGCCUCGGUAAUACGUAGGGGGCAAGCGUUAGUCGGAUUUACGGGGCGUAAAGGGAUCGGAGGCGGCAAUACAAGUCGGAAGUGAAAUACCCGGGCGCAACCUGGGAACUGCAUUGGAAACUGUAUGGCUAGAGUCCUGGAGAGGUGAGCGGAAUUCCUGGGGUAGCGGUGAAAUGCGUAGAUAUUAGGAGGAACACCAGUGGCGAAGGCGGCUUACUGGACAGUAACUGACGUUGAGGCUCGAAAGCGUGGGGAGCAAACAGGAUUAGAUACCCGGGUAGUC